rnacentral:sRNA from 1 species
GUAUCUGAAGUCUGACGAGGAUGAGAACCUCCGGGGGCAAGAGGUUCGACUCGAGCGAAGCGAGAGAACGUUGCGUCAGCAACGGCCCGCAGUGGCAAGGCAUCCUCUGUCACCGGCAG